UACGUAGGCAGCAAGCGUUGUUCGGAGUUACUGGGCGUAAAGGGUGUGUAGGCGGUUCUUUAAGUUUGGUGUGAAAUCUCCCGGCUCAACCGGGAGGGUGCGCCGAAUACUGAGGGACUAGGAGGUACGGGGAAGAGGAAAGUCGGAGUUCCUGGUGUAGCGGUGAAAUGCGUAGAUAUCGAGGAGGAACACCGGUGGUGUAGACGGCUUUCUGGACCGUAACUGACGCUGAGACACGAAAGCGUGGGUAGCAAACAGG
rnacentral:rRNA from 1 species